AAAACAAAUACGUAGGGGGCAAGCGUUGUCCGGAAUUAUUGGGCGUAAAGGGCGUGUAGGCGGCAAUGUAAGUCAGGUGUGAAAUACCACGGCUCAACCGUGGGGCUGCAUCUGAAACUGGCGGGCUUGAGGGCAGGAGAGGAGAGCGGAAUUCCUAGUGUAGCGGUGGAAUGCGUAGAUAUUAGGAGGAACACCAGUGGCGAAGGCGGCUCUCUGGACUGCUACUGACGCUGAGGCGCGAAAGCCAGGGGAGCAAACGGG
rnacentral:rRNA from 1 species